rnacentral:snRNA from 1 species
AUCACAUAUACUAAAAUUGGAACAAUACAGAGAUGAGCAUGGCCCUGGGCAAGAAUGACAUGCAAAUUUAUGAAGUGUUUCAUAUUUUU